AGAGGGCUUAGACCCUCGCCGAACUGCUCAGUAACACGUAGCUAAUCUACUCUUAGGUGGGGGAUAAACUCGCGAAAGUGAGGCUAAUACCCCAUAGCUGUUUUUGGCUGGAAUGCUUUAACAGUAAAAGUUCCGACGCCUAAGAAUGGGGCUGCGACGUAUCAGGCUGUUGUGAGUUUAAAAUACUCACAAACCUAUAACGCGUAGAGGCCAUGAGAGUGGGAGCCUCGAGAUGCCUUCUGAGACAUGAAGGCAGGUCCUACGGGACGCAGCAGGCGCGAAAACUUUCCAAUUCAUUAACGUGUGAGAAGGGAAGUCUGAGUGCUUAUGCUAUGCAUAAGCUUUUAUUUAGYCUAAAAAGCUAGARGAAUAAGUGGUGGGUAAGACAGGUGCCAGCCGCCGCGGUAAUACCUGCGCCACAAAUGGUGAUCACGAUUAUUGGGUCUAARGCGUCCGUAGCCGGUUUAGCAAGUUCCUGGUGAAAUCUGGCAGCAAACUGUCAGGCAUGCUGGRAAUACUACUAAACUUGAGAUUGGGAGAGGUUGGAAGUAUUCCAUGRGUAGGGGUUAAAUCCUUUAAUYCAUGGAGGACUACCGGUGGCGAAGGCGUCCAACUAGAACAAGUCUGACGGUGAGGGACGAAAGCGUGGGGAGCAAAUCUAANCC
rnacentral:rRNA from 1 species